rnacentral:rRNA from 1 species
CUAACAAGGAUUCCCUUAGUAACUGCGAGUGAACUGGGAAGAGCUCAAAUUUAAAAUCUGGCAGUUUUACUGUCCGAGUUGUAAUCUGGAGAAGCGUUUUCCGCGUCGGACCGUGUACAAGUCUCUUGGAAUAGAGCGUCAUAGAGGGUGAGAAUCCCGUCCAUGACACGGACUUCCGAUGCUUUGUGAUACGCUCUCAAAGAGUCGAGUUGUUUGGGAAUGCAGCUCAAAAUGGGUGGUAAAUUCCAUCUAAAGCUAAAUAUUGGCGAGAGACCGAUAGCGAACAAGUACCGUGAGGGAAAGAUGAAAAGCACUUUGGAAAGAGAGUUAAACAGUACGUGAAAUUGUUGAAAGGGAAACGCUUGAAGUCAGUCGCGUCGUACGGAGCUCAGCCUUGCUUCUGCUUGGUGUAUUCUCCGUGUCGACGGGUCAACAUCAAUUUUGACCGGUGGAAAAGGGCCUAGGGAACGUAGCGUUGUUUCGGCGACGUGUUAUAGCCUUGGGUCGUAUGCAUCGGUUGGGAUUGAGGACCGCAGCACGCCCUUGUGGCCGGGGGUUCGCCCUACGUUCGUGCUUAGGAUGUUGGCAUAAUGGCUUUAAGCGACCCGUCUUGAAACACGGACCAAGGAGUCUAACAUGCCUGCAAGUGUUCGGGUGGAAAACCCUUGCGCGUAAUGAAAGUGAAAGUUGGGAUCCUUCGUAAGGGGGUGCACCGACGCCCGGCCCUGACGUUCUCUGACGGUGCUGCGGUAGAGCAUGUAUGUUGGGACCCGAAAGAUGGUGAACUAUGCCUGAAUAGGGUGAAGCCAGAGGAAACUCUGGUGGAGGCUCGUAGCGAUUCUGACGUGCAAAUCGAUCGUCAAAUUUGGG